rnacentral:rRNA from 1 species
ACCGGCGAGUUACAUGGUGUUGCAAGGUUAAGGUAUAGAAAUACUGGAGCCGGAGGGAAACCGAGUCUUAAUAGGGCGUUAAGUAACAUCAAGUAGACCCGAAACCGAGUGAUCUACCCAUGGCCAGGGUGAAGCUGUGGUAACACACAGUGGAGGCCCGAACUCACUAAGGUUGAAAACUUAGGGGAUGAGCUGUGGGUAGGAGUGAAAGGCUAAACAAACUCGGCGAUAGCUGGUUCUCCCCGAAAUAGCUUUAGGGCUAGCCUCUGGUGUUUAUUUGUGGUGGUAGAGCACUGAAUGGGCUAGGGCCCUUACCCGGGUACCAAACCCAACCAAACUCCGAAUGCCACAAAUUUAUAGCCAGGGAGUCAGACUACGGGGGAUAAGCUCCGUGGUCGAAAGGGAAACAGCCCAAACCAUCGUCUAAGGUCCCUAAGUAUACGCUAAGUGGAGAAGGAAGUGGAAUUGCAAAGACAGCCAGGAGGUUGGCUUAGAGGCAGCAAUCCUUGAAAGAAAGCGUAACAGCUCACUGGUCGAGUAGUUCUGCGCCGAAAAUGUAACGGGGCUAAGCGUAUCACCGAAGACAUGGGCCGUAAAAAUCUGAGGAUUUUUACGACGGUAGGGGAGCGUUCUGUACGCCUGUGAAGGUCGACCGUGAGGACGACUGGAGGUAUCAGAAGUGAGAAUGCCGGUAUGAGUA